GACGAACGCUGGGGGCGUGCCUAAUACAUGCAAGUAGAACGCUGAAGAGAGGAGCUUGCUCUUCUUGGAUGUGUUGCGAACGGGUGAGUAACGCGUAGGUAACCUGCCUUGUAGCGGGGGAUAACUAUUGGAAACGAUAGCUAAUACCGCAUAACAAUGGAUGACACGUGUUAUUUAUUUGAAAGGGGCAAUUGCUCCACUACAAGAUGGACCUGCGUUGUAUUAGCUAGUAGGUGAGGUAAUGGCUCACCUAGGCGACGAUACAUAGCCGACCUGAGAGGGUGAUCGGCCACACUGGGACUGAGACACGGCCCAGACUCCUACGGGAGGCAGCAGUAGGGAAUCUUCGGCAAUGGGGGCAACCCUGACCGAGCAACGCCGCGUGGGUGAAGAAGGUUUUCGGAUCGUAAAGCUCUGUUGUAAGUCAAGAACGGGUGUGAGAGUGGAAAGUUCACACUGUGACGGUAGCUUACCAGAAAGGGACGGCUAACUACGUG
rnacentral:rRNA from 1 species